rnacentral:rRNA from 1 species
UUGGAGGGCAAGUCUGGUGCCAGCAGCCGCGGUAAUUCCAGCUCCAAUAGCGUAUAUUAAAGUUGUUGCAGUUAAAAAGCUCGUAGUUGAACUUCGGGGUUCACCCAUUGGUCAGGCUUAAUUGUCUGUACUGGUGAGAUGAAUCUCUACCUUCUGAGGAACUUUCAUGCCAUUUUUGGUGUGAUGGGAAAUCAGGACUGUUACUUUGAAAAUUAGAGUGUUUAAAGCAGGCUAACGUCUGAAUACAUUAGCAUGGAAUAAUGAAAUAGGACGGAUUGAUUCUAUUUCGUUGGUUUCUAGGAUCACCGUAAUGAUUAAUAGGGAUAGUUGGGGGCAUUAGUAUUCAAUUGUCAGAGGUGAAAUUCUUGGAUUUAUUGAAGACUAACUACUGCGAAAGCAUUCGCCAAGGAUGUUUUCAUUAAUCAAGAACGAAAGUUAGGGGAUCGAAGACGAUCAGAUACCGUCGUAGUCUUACCAUAAACUAUGCCGACUAGGGAUCGGACGAAGUUAUUUAUAAUGACGCGUUCGGCACCUUACGGGAAAC